GGACUGAUGGUGUAGGGGUUAAGCACGCAACCCUAUACAGAGGCUGUGGCCGUCCCAGGUUCGAGUCCUGGACUCAGUGACAUUUGCCA